rnacentral:rRNA from 1 species
UACGGAGGGUGCGAGCGUUGUCCGGAAUCACUGGGCGUAAAGAGCGUGUAGGCGGCUCGAUAAGUCCGCUGUGAAAGUCCAGGGCUCAACCCUGGAAGGCCGGUGGAAACUGUCGGGCUAGAGUCCGGAAGAGGCGAGUGGAAUUCCCGGUGUAGCGGUGAAAUGCGCAGAUAUCGGGAGGAACACCAAUGGCGAAGGCAGCUCGCUGGGACGGUACUGACGCUGAGACGCGAAAGCGUGGGGAGCAAACAGG